GGGGCUAUUCUGACAAGCUCGAACCGCACUCUCGUUAGAUUGAAGAAGCUUGCUUCUGAUUGAUAACAUUUGAGUGAGUGGCGGACGGGUGAGUAACACGUGGGUAACCUGCCCUAAAGUGGGGGAUAACAUUUGGAAACAGAUGCUAAUACCGCAUAAAACCUAGCACCGCAUGGUGCAAGGUUGAAAGAUGGUUUCGGCUAUCACUUUAGGAUGGACCCGCGGUGCAUUAGUUAGUUGGUGAGGUAAAGGCUCACCAAGACCGUGAUGCAUAGCCGACCUGAGAGGGUAAUCGGCCACACUGGGACUGAGACACGGCCCAGACUCCUACGGGAGGCAGCAGUAGGGAAUCUUCCACAAUGGACGAAAGUCUGAUGGAGCAACGCCGCGUGAGUGAAGAAGGUUUUCGGAUCGUAAAACUCUGUUGUUGGAGAAGAACGUAUUUGAUAGUAACUGAUCAGGUAGUGACGGUAUCCAACCAGAAAGCCACGGCUAACUACGUGCCAGCAGCCGCGGUAAUACGUAGGUGGCAAGCGUUGUCCGGAUUUAUUGGGCGUAAAGCGAGCGCAGGCGGUUUCUUAAGUCUGAUGUGAAAGCCUUCGGCUCAACCGAAGAAGUGCAUCGGAAACUGGGAAACUUGAGUGCAGAAGAGGACAGUGGAACUCCAUGUGUAGCGGUGAAAUGCGUAGAUAUAUGGAAGAACACCAGUGGCGAAGGCGGCUGUCUGGUCUGUAACUGACGCUGAGGCUCGAAAGCAUGGGUAGCAAACAGGAUUAGAUACCCUGGUAGUCCAUGCCGUAAACGAUGAGUGCUAGGUGUUGGAGGGUUUCCGCUCUUCAGUGCCGCAGCUAACGCAUUAAGCACUCCGCCUGGAGAGUACGACCGCAAGGUUGAAACUCAGAGGAAUUGACGGGGGCCCGCACAAGCGGUGGAGCAUGUGGUUUAAUUCGAAGCAACGCGAAGAACCUUACCAGGUCUUGACAUCCUUUGACCACUCUAGAGAUAGAGCUUUCCCUUCGAGGACAAAGUGACAGGUGGUGCAUGGUUGUCGUCAGCUCGUGUCGUGAGAUGUUGGGUUAAGUCCCGCAACGAGCGCAACCUUAUUACUAGUUGCCAGCAUUUAGUUGGGCACUCUAAUGAGACUGCCGGUGACAACCGGAGGAAGG
rnacentral:rRNA from 1 species